CAGUCAUCUCCGAGGCUGAGUGUAUUUCUAACUAGUGCAAGAUAUUUAGCUUACACAUGCAGUGUGUAGGGAGGAAAAGCAAGGAACAAAUGCACUUUAUAAUGGUGAAAAUGAGGCACAGCUGGAUAUCAAAUGGAGAAUGGACUUUCUCCUGUUUCGUCUUUGCUGAGACACAGACUCACAUGCCAGUGAUUAUGUUAUAAAGGCCAUAGCAUGGUUUAAUGUGCGCAUGCUUUUCAGUAGUGAGGAGCAGGCAGCUCGCUCUGUUGCCGUGGCAAUGAUGAUGACUCAUGACAGCUGAACUGUAGAUGCACGCUUGUGUGUGUGUAAUUUGGAUUCAAGAAAGACUGAAAGAGUGGCUGUCCCUCCUUUUCAAUUAGAACAGUAAACACAAAAAAAUAGGUCUCUCUCCAUCUCUCUCUCUCUCUUACAUGCACACGCACAAACACACACACACAAACACACCAAUUUUCACCAAUUCAAAAUAAUGAACUGUGAUUGCAGAUUCCGAAACAACUGUUUACAUGCAUCCUAAACUGGACAGUUGUGAGUGGAUCUCUAUUUAUAUGCACUUCAUAUUUAAUCUGAUCCAAAGUUGUGCAUGAGGGAUAAUGAGGUUUAGUAUCAGUGUAACCAUAACAACGAGGGCUGCGGGUCAGUGUGAGACUGCUUGUGUUUAACAAGUUUUAAAUUAUUUCCUACUAAGCAAAGUGUCAUUCAAAUUGUAAUAAUUAUUAGCAGACAAUGAGAAGAGUUUGUGUGUUUGUGUGCAUGUGCGUGCGUGCAUGUGUGUGUGUGUGUGUGUGUGUGUGCGUGUGUGUGUGUUUGUGUGUGUGUGUGUGAAGAGUUCUGCCACAAAGCUGCUCAGCAUUUUAAAUUUGCCUCAUGUUCAGUAACAAGCAGCUCUGCUUUAUGAAAAAGAAUUGUACACAUUAUCCAUGUUUCCCAUAUUAAUAGUCAGUGACUGCAAAUAACCGCAGAAGAAGUAUAAAUUUUGAUCAAAGGGUGUGUUUUUUUAUUUUUUGUUUUACACAUUUUGUUUUUUUUAACCUUGGGCAUGUUCUGCUUCUGCACUGAAUGUUAAACACUAAGUCAACUUUACUGAGGUCAAUUUACAUCACACACCUUUGUUAAAAGUUUAGUUUAAUGCCACUUCAACCUCACAAUUAUUUUUUAAAUAUAUUCUAAAGAUUUCUCAUGUUGUUGAACUGGAUAGAAAUGUCAUUUUGAUUGUCCUCGGCUGCUCUACUCUUUUCCCCUGAGGUUUACAUGAGAGUUUUUUUCUGACUGACCACCUGAUCACCUGAUUCAGACACAAUAUCUCUUCACAUUAGUUAUAAAAUAAAUUGUAUUGUAAUACCAUGCAAGCUUUUAGAGCUGCACAAUUAAUCAUUUGUUUUCAUUAUUGUUAUUACAGUAUUGGCUUUUACUUUACACAGAGAUGUCUUAGACUUGCCACUAGAUUACUUUAAAUACUUGCAACUUGAAUCAGAAUUUAAAAAGUACAGAAUUUAAAAACAUGUAAAGUUCAAGAGGAUGUAUGAAAUUAGAAGCUUAUGACUCACAUUCUCCAAAAACCUCCAAACUCGACUCAAACAUCCAAGCUUAUGACCCAAGUGAUAAAUGAACUCAGUCAUUAAAUACAGUGGUACCCCGCUUAUCGACCGGCUCGGACAUCGACCUUUUCGCUUAGCGAACAGUUUUUCGACCGGAAUUUGCGCCCGCUGAACGACCAAAUCCCCGCUUAUCGACCUCGACCCACAUAGCACGAGGGGAAGGAUUUUCCCAGUCUCGCCUCAGCCUUCGUAGAGAGAGCAUCUAUCGUAAAUUAAACUUCGGUUUGUGAACAAUAACUAACUAACCCUAACCCAUCACUGCGACUUAACGACAAAAGAUGAUCAUAGCUACAAAGCACAGCGGCUCCAGCUAGAGUCCAGCUUGCUGGAAAACUCUUUUUAAGGAAAGCGCACAGACUGACCUGAGACAUCUACGCAAUGUUGAACUGGCCCUGAAAAAGACGUUUCUUGUCUGUAUUAAAUUGGUCCCGCUCCGUCUUGAUCUGGCUCAUAAAUAUUCAUCCCUUCUGGUUAUUUUAAUUUCAAAAGACUUUUUUAAACUUUGUCUCUAGUCAAAAUCUCACUGCUUCAUUUUCUUCUUGCUUCAUUACACCUUAUUCAGCCUUCUAAUGCAGUUCAGAGAGUAUCAAGCGGACAUUACUGCGUCUAUGUUCCCAUAAAGGGAUUAACUGCAGCUAUAAAAGUAUGUGGAACGUAAGAGUAAGAGAGUGGCUAUGUAUAUGUGUUCGAGGUUCUGUGUGUGUAUGUGUGGGUUAACAGGUGUAGAAUUUCUACCAUAAUGCUUUCUACCAGCUGUGACUUUUCCCAGGGGGAUGUUAACUUUGUUGUAUAAAACUGUGUAAUGCAUAUAAAUCACCAAAAAUUCUGUUGGGUGUGUGUGCAGCGACUUCUCGUCCCUUACAGUGGACUUCCCAUAUGUAUGUAUGAGUUUAAAAAAGGUCAGGCUGAGUCAGCAUAUAGAUUCAGGGAGAAUACUUUUUUUUAUCAUUUUCUGUUUAUGAAUAAAAAGAUAUUGAGAUUAGAAAGACAAGCUCAUUUUUGUUGAUCCCUGAUCAAGUAACCAUGUUUCCAUACAAAUGUGUGAUAGGUAAUGAAUGUUACCAAGUGCUGACACUGGAGAUGUCUUUAAAUGUUAAAUAAAAAUCUAAUUACACUAAUCUCCACAAAAUCAAUUGUUUUUCAACACAGUAUUCUUUGAAUUGUUCCACAUCUCUGAGUUAUAAACUGCUGUAGUGUCAUAUUUUUGAACAUUAUUCUCACUCGAGCAUUUCUAUUUUUAAAUUAAUAUUCACAAUGCUACAUUCAAAUAAUAUUUAGUGUAGUUUUAACUUAGCCACUAUCACUAAUACAUAUUUUAAUUCACUUUUUUAUCGUUUACAUUACAUUACAUUUACGGCAUUUAGCAGACACCCUUAUCCAGAGUGACUUACAACUGAGCAAUUGAGGGUUAAGGGCCGUAGUAACCACUCAUUAAUUUAAGCUAUCACUGAACUCAUGGAUUUUAGGUAAGGACCAUGUAUGUACUGUAUAUCAUUAUUACACUACUAUUAUGCUUAUACUUUAGAACUGGUAUAAUUUCAACAGCAAAGACAAUAAAAUUG